UUCAAAUUUGUCAUCGGUUUUAAAUUAUUAUUAAUUAUUUGAAUAGCUUUUAUUUUAUUGCAACUAAUACGAAAUAGAAUAAUAACAAUUGACAACUUAAUUCUUUCAAAUAAAUCAUUAGUCUUUAUAUUGAAAAUAAAUAAACUGACGACGGUUUAUUGUUGACAAUGAAUGUUUUGUGAUGUUCUUGAAGAAAAAUGAAGGAGAUUUUGGAUUGGACUAAAAAAAUUUCAGAUUUAUUUUGAAUAUAGGAUGGCGAAGGAGAUUUUGGAUUGGACUCAAGAAAUUUCAGAUGUAUUUUGAAUAUAGGAUGGCG